CAAGCUACUAAGGGCAAACGGGGGAUGCCUUGGCGUCGGAAGGCGAAGAAGGACGUGGUAAGCUGCGAUAAGCCUCGGUGAGCUGCAAACAAGCGUUGAUCCGGGGAUUUCCGAAUGGGGAAACCUGGCGAGGGUAAUGCCUCGUCACUCCCAGCUGAACACAUAGGCUGGGUAGAGCCAACCGGGGGAACUGAAACAUCUAAGUACCCCGAGGAAGAGAAAGCAACCGCGAUUCCCCGAGUAGCGGCGAGCGAAACGGGAACAGCCUAAACCGAUUGCAUGUCAAGCCUGCCAGCGUUGUGCAGUCGGGGUUGUGGGAUCUGAUCGGACCCAGGGCAGCUGGGUCGAGAAGUUACAAAUUGCACGGUUAACCGAACCCGUCUGGAAAGUCGGGCCAUAGCGGGUGAUAGCCCCGUAGGUGAAAACCAUGCGACUUCUUGGAUCGGACACCCGAGUAGCGCGGGACACGAGGAAUCCCGUGUGAAUCCAGGAGGACCACCUCCUAAGGCUAAAUACUCUCCGACGACCGAUAGUGAACCAGUACCGUGAGGGAAAGGUGAAAAGCACCCCAGGAGGGGAGUGAAAGAGUAUCUGAAACCGUUUGCCUACAAGCGGUCGGAGCUCCUUCGGGAGUGACGGCGUGCCUUUUGCAUAAUGAGCCGGCGAGUUACUGGAGGCUGGCAAGGUUAAGUGGUUAAGCCACGGAGCCGUAGCGAAAGCGAGUCCUAACCGGGCGUACAGUCAGUCUUCGUAGACCCGAAGCCAGGUGAUCUAGCCAUGGCCAGGUUGAAGCGUAUGUAACAAUACGUGGAGGACCGAACCAGACAGAGUUGAAAAUCUGCUGGAUGAGCUGUGGUUAGGGGUGAAAGGCCAAUCAAACCUGGAGAUAGCUGGUUCUCCCCGAAAUGGAUUGAGGUCCAGCCUCGCGAUAGAGUGUGGCGGAGGUAGAGCACUGAAUAGGCUAGGGGCCCUACCAGGUUACCGACCCUAAUCAAACUCCGAAUGCCGCUCACAUGUUUCGCGGGAGUGAGGUCGUGAGAGAUAAGUUUCACGGCCGAGAGGGAAACAACCCAGAUCGUCAGCUAAGGCCCCGAAGUACAGGCUAAGUGGUUGUAAGGAAGUGAGACUACUCAGACAGCUAGGAUGUUGGCUUAGAAGCAGCAACCAUUCAAAGAGUGCGUAAUAGCUCACUAGUCAAGUGGUCUCGCGCCGAUAAUAAACGGGACUAAGCCUGUCGCCGAAGCUACGGACUGUCGAGGUCUUCGGACUCCGACAUUGGUAGGGGAGCGUUCUGCAGUAGGUCGAAGGUAUCUCGAUAAGAGGUGCUGGACGAGGCAGAAGUGAUAAUGCCGGCAUAAGUAGCGAUAAAGCAGGUGAGAAACCUGCUCACCGAAAACCCAAGGUUUCCUGAGGAAGGUUAAUCCGCUCAGGGUUAGUCGGCCCCUUAGCCGAGGCCGAAAGGCGUAGGUGAUGGGAAACGGGUCAACAUUCCCGUACCACCUGACAACGUUUGACCGAUGGGGUGACGCAGAAGUGAACGACCAGCCGCUUAUUGGAUUGCGGUCUAAGGGUGUAGGAAGGCGUCCUAGGUAAAUCCGGGAUGUCAAUUCCGAGACCUGAAUGGGAAACGAGCCUCCGGGCAAGCCAACUGGUCUUAAGCAUGCUGCCUAGAAAUAGCCUCUAGGGAGUUCGUCAGGUGACCGUACCGUAAACGGACACACGUAGGUGGGGUGAGUAACCUAAGGUGCUCGAGUGAUUUCUAGCCAAGGAACUCGGCAAAAUGUCCCCGUAACUUCGGGAUAAGGGGAGCCUUCCGAGAAUAGCCCCUCGCGGGUGAAGGUAGGGAGGCCGCAGAGAAUCGGCCCAGGCGACUGUUUACUAAAAACACAGGACUCUGCUAAGUCGAUGAGACGAUGUAUAGGGUCUGACACCUGCCCGGUGCCGGAAAGUUAAAGGGAGGGGUUAGCUUCGGCGAAGCUCUGAACUGAAGCUCCGGUAAACGGCGGCCGUAACUAUAACGGUCCUAAGGUAGCGAAAUUCCUUGUCGGGUAAGUUCCGACCUGCACGAAUGGUGUAACGAUCUGGGCACUGUCUCGGCUAGAAGCUCGGCGAAAUUGUAGUAGCGGUGAAGAUGCCGCUUACCCGCGUCUGGACAGAAAGACCCCAUGGACCUUUACUGCAACUUGAUAUUGGGUUUCGGCCUUGCAUGUGUAGGAUAGGUGGGAGGCUUUGAAGCGGGGGCGCCAGCUCUCGUGGAGUCGACCUUGAAAUACCACCCUUGUGAUGUUGGAAUUCUAACCUGACUCCGUGAAUCCGGGUCAGGAACAGUGUCAGGUGGGCAGUUUGACUGGGGCGGUCGCCUCCUAAAGAGUAACGGAGGCGCACGAAGGUUCCCUCAGCGUGGUCGGCAAUCACGCGAAGAGUGUAAAGGCAAAAGGGAGCUUGACUGCGAGAGCGACAGCUCGAGCAGGUGGGAAACCAGGUCUUAGUGACCCGGUGGCUCCGAGUGGAAGGGCCAUCGAUCAACGGAUAAAAGGUACCCUGGGGAUAACAGGCUGAUCUCCCCCGAGAGUCCACAUCGACGGGGAGGUUUGGCACCUCGAUGUCGGCUCAUCGCAUCCUGGGGCUGAAGGCGGUCCCAAGGGUUUGGCUGUUCGCCAAUUAAAGCGGUACGUGAGCUGGGUUUAGAACGUCGUGAGACAGUUCGGUCCCUAUCCGACGUGGGCGCAGGAGGUUUGAGGAGAGCUGACUUCAGUACGAGAGGACCUCGUUGGACGCACCUCUAGUGCACCUGUUGUCGCGCCAGCGGCAUGGCAGGGUAGCUACGUGCGGAACGGAUAACCGCUGAAAGCAUCUAAGCGGGAAGCCAACUCCAAGAUUAGACCUCCCUGACUUCGGUCCUGAAGGCCCCUUCGAGACUAGGAGGUUGAUAGGCCGGAGGUGUAAGCGUGGUAACACGUUCAGCCGACCGGUACUAAUAGGCCGUGAGGCUUGGCCU
rnacentral:rRNA from 1 species